rnacentral:rRNA from 1 species
UGGGGAAUAUUGGACAAUGGGCGAAAGCCUGAUCCAGCCAUGCCGCGUGUGUGAAGAAGGUCUUCGGAUUGUAAAGCACUUUAAGUUGGGAGGAAGGGCAUUAACCUAAUACGUUAGUGUUUUGACGUUACCGACAGAAUAAGCACCGGCUAACUCUGUGCCAGCAGCCGCGGUAAUACAGAGGGUGCAAGCGUUAAUCGGAAUUACUGGGCGUAAAGCGCGCGUAGGUGGUUUGUUAAGUUGGAUGGGAAAUCCCCGGGCUCAACCUGGGAACUGCAUUCAAAACUGACGGACUAGAGUAUGGUAGAGGGUGGUGGAAUUUCCUGUGUAGCGGUGAAAUGCGUAGAUAUAGGAAGGAACACCAGUGGCGAAGGCGACCACCUGGACUAAUACUGACACUGAGGUGCGAAAGCGUGGGGAGCAAACA